rnacentral:tRNA from 1 species
GUUUUAAUAAUUUAAAAAUAAAAUAUUGGUCUUGUAAACCAAAACUAAGGAAACUUUUAAAACA